GAUGAACGCUGGCGGCGUGCCUAAUACAUGCAAGUCGAGCGAACAGACGAGGAGCUUGCUCCUCUGACGUUAGCGGCGGACGGGUGAGUAACACGUGGAUAACCUACCUAUAAGACUGGGAUAACUUCGGGAAACCGGAGCUAAUACCGGAUAAUAUAUUGAACCGCAUGGUUCAAUAGUGAAAGACGGUUUUGCUGUCACUUAUAGAUGGAUCCGCGCCGCAUUAGUUAGUUGGUAAGGUAACGGCUUACCAAGGCAACGAUGCGUAGCCGACCCGAGAGGGUGAUCGGCCACACUGGAACUGAGACACGGUCCAGACUCCUACGGUGGGCAGCAGUAGGGAAUCUUCCGCAAGGGGCGAAAGCGUGACGGAGCAACGCCGCGUGAAGGAUGAAGGUCUUCGGAUCGUAAAACUCUGUUAUUAGGGAAGAACAAAUGUGUAAGUAACUAUGCACGUCUUGACGGUACCUAAACAGAAAGCCACGGCUAACUACGUG
rnacentral:rRNA from 1 species